ACAUGCGAACAGACUGUGCAUCUGUAUCUAGGCUUCCACUGGCAAAGCCCUGAUAUGCACUAUCAAAGAAGGGUAGCAAUCCUUUUGAUCUCAUCAAUCUCCUAAUUUGCUCCCAUUGAUCUUUGGUUGGAUCCACACCAGUGGGGUUAUGUGCACAAGCGUGAAGUAACACUAUCGCUCCUGAUGGAGCGGAUCCAAGGUCUUCCAACAAACCUUGAAAAUGGAGUCCACGGGUUGCUGGAUCAUAGUAGCGGUAACUCUUAACUGACAACCCAGCUAAAGCGAAAAUUUUUGUGUGGUUUCCCCAUGUUGGUUGGGGAAUAUAAAUAGUACGUUGAUGAUAGUGUUGAGCCAAAAAUUCACCCCCAACUCUCAAUGAGCCUGUGCCAGACAAGCACUGGACAGUUGUUACUCUGUUCUCUUGAAUAGCAGGGCUG
rnacentral:misc_RNA from 1 species